rnacentral:misc_RNA from 1 species
ACGUCAUCCCCACCUUCCUCACAGUUUGCACUGGCAGUCUUGUUAGAGUUCCCGACAUUACUCGCUGGCAACUAACAACAGGGGUUGCGCUCGUUAUAGGACUUAACCUGACACCUCACGGCACGAGCUGACGACAACCAUGCAGCACCUUGUAACUUGCCCGAAGGAAAAGCUGUUUCCAGCCCUGUCAAGCUACAUUUAAGCCCUGGUAAGGUUCCUCGCGUAUCAUCGAAUUAAACCACAUGCUCCACCGCUUGUGCGGGCCCCCGUCAAUUCCUUUGAGUUUCAUUCUUGCGAACGUACUCCCCAGGUGGGUUACUUAUCACUUUCGCUUAGCCACUCAGUCUUACGACCAAACAGCUAGUAACCAUCGUUUACGGCGUAGACUACCAGGGUAUCU